AGGACGAACGCUGGCGGCGUGCCUAAUACAUGCAAGUCGAACGGUCUUUCUAUGGAAGCUUGCUUCCACUGAGAAGAUAGUGGCGAACGGGUGAGUAACACGUGGGUAACCUGCCCAUAAGAGGGGGAUAACAUCCGGAAACGGGUGCUAAUACCGCAUAGUUUCUUGAUCGCAUGAUUGGGAAAGGAAAGACGGCCUUUGUGCUGUCGCUUAUGGAUGGACCCGCGGCGUAUUAGUUAGUUGGUGAGGUAACGGCUCACCAAGACGAUGAUACGUAGCCGACCUGAGAGGGUGAUCGGCCACAUUGGGACUGAGACACGGCCCAAACUCCUACGGGAGGCAGCAGUAGGGAAUCUUCCGCAAUGGACGAAAGUCUGACGGAGCAACGCCGCGUGAGUGAAGAAAGGUUUUCGGAUCGUAAAACUCUGUUGUCAGAGAAGAACAAGUUGGAGAGUAACUGCUCCAGCCUUGACGGUAUCUGACCAGAAAGCCACGGCUAACUACGUGCCAGCAGCGGC
rnacentral:rRNA from 1 species